rnacentral:rRNA from 1 species
GUAGGUGGCAAGCGUUGUCCGGAAUUAUUGGGCGUAAAGCGCGCGCAGGCGGUUCUUUAAGUCUGAUGUGAAAGCCCACGGCUCAACCGUGGAGGGUCAUUGGAAACUGGAGAACUUGAGUACAGAAGAGGAAAGCGGAAUUCCACGUGUAGCGGUGAAAUGCGUAGAGAUGUGGAGGAACACCAGUGGCGAAGGCGGCUUUCUGGUCUGUAACUGACGCUGAGGCGCGAAGGCGUGGGGGAGCAAACAGGAUUAGAUACCCUGGUAGUCCACGCCGUAAACGAUGAGUGCUAAGUGUUAGGGGGUUUCCGCCCCUUAGUGCUGCAGCUAACGCAUUAAGCACUCCGCCUGGGAGUACGGCCGCAAGGCUG